rnacentral:snRNA from 1 species
AUGCCUUAAAACUUAUGAGUAAGGAAAAUUACGAUUCAGGUUGAUGCCCGAAUCCUCACUGCCAAUGUGAGACAAAUUUUUGAGCGGGUAAAGGUUACCCUCAAGGUGACCCACCUGCUUGGUGGGAUGCCUGGGAGUCACGAUCGGCCCA